rnacentral:lncRNA from 1 species
UGCACUUCUGGCUAAGCAAUGGUGACUAUUAGUUUGUAAUCCUGCCUCAUUGGUGGCACGAGUACUAAAAGCAAAAUAUGGCAGUGGCGAUUUUUUAAGAGAGGAGUCAGUCAACCUUCGGCAAUCUAGAGAAGCAUUUGGGCAACAAAGGGGCUUCUGUUGUUGGGGAGUAGCUAACAAGUCGAUGAUGGAAAGUCAAUACUUG